CACUCCCCACUCUUUCCUCCACUCCCACACACUCUCCUCCUAUCUCUCCCCAUGAAAUUGCUGCUCCUCCUAGCUUCAUGGCCGGCCAUGGCCAUGGCCAUGAAAAGCUCUCCAUGAUGAAGCUCUCCCCCUCCCUCAAGCUCCUCCUCUCCAUGAGAGCACCCCUCUCCUUUUUUCUCCCCAACCCUAGAUGGUUUUCUCUCCUCUUCUUCUUCCUCCCUUGCUAAGUUUGGAUCUUGAUGCAGGUGCAUGUUGGUCCAAGCAUGGAGAAGCUUCACCUAUCCUCAGAUCUGAAGUUCUUGACCAAAAUCCAAAUCGAGUGAUUGAAAGUUACACAGAUAGGUAUUGAAAAGAUCUACAACUUGGCGUUGGUCUCAUCCUCAAAUUCGUUACGGAUUUUGCAUGAUGCGAACAAUUCCGGAGAAGAAGAAGAAGUGGAAUCGGACAAGGAUUUUAUUUAUGUUGUUGGGAUUCUUAUAUUGAUGGAGUUGAAAAAGUACAGGGACAAAUAAGCCAAGGCAAGCCAUCUUUUGAUCUCUUGCUAUUUAUCCUUCUUGUUGUGCUCAUUGCUCCAUUAUACACUUGGUUCCUUGUAUCAUAUGUGAUUUUUGGUCCUCUACUCUAUGCAUGCUUAUUCCCAAAGUAUGUUGAACCCCUUGUUGAUGCUUUGCAUACUUGCUCCCAAGUAUGUGAACCCCCUUGUUGAUGUUAUGCAUGCUUACCCUAAGCAUGUAUGCCCCCUUGACCAUACCCAUGGUGUCAUCUUCUUAGUGGUAUGAUGAUUAACAUCAUGACCCCUGUUUGAAUCAUCUUAAUUAUGUUGUCCCUAUACAUGCUUAUCCUAAGUAUGUAUGAUCCCCUUAACACCUCAAUUAUCAUCCCCUUAGUGGUAUGAU